rnacentral:rRNA from 1 species
GACGAACACUGGCGGUAUGCUUAACACAUGCAAGUCGAACGAGAAGUCUUUUAUUGACCCUUCGGGGGAUAUAAGAGACAGACAGUGGCGAACGGGUGAGUAACGCGUGGGCAACCUACCUAUCGGAGCGGGAUAGCCUCGAGAAAUCGGGAGUAAAACCGCAUAACACGGAUAUAUCGCAUGAUGAAUCCGUCAAAACUCCGGUGCCGAUAGAUGGGCCCGCGUCUGAUUAGCUAGUUGGUAAGGUAAGGGCUUACCAAGGCAACGAUCAGUAGCCGGUCUGAGAGGGCGAACGGCCACACUGGAACUGAGACACGGUCCAGACUCCUACGGGAGGCAGCAGUGGGGAAUAUUGCGCAAUGGGGGCAACCCUGACGCAGCAAUACCGCGUGAGUGAAGAAGGUUUUCGGAUCGUAAAGCUCUGUUAUUGGGGAAGAAGCAGUGACGGUACCCAAU